GUGGGGAAUAUUGGACAAUGGGCGAAAGCCUGAUCCAGCCAUGCCGCGUGAGUGAUGAAGGCCUUAGGGUUGUAAAGCUCUUUUGUCCGGGAAGAUAAUGACUGUACCGGAAGAAUAAGCCCCGGCUAACUUCGUGCCAGCAGCCGCGGUAAUACGAAGGGGGCUAGCGUUGCUCGGAAUCACUGGGCGUAAAGGGCGCGUAGGCGGACUUUUAAGUCGGAGGUGAAAGCCCAGGGCUCAACCCUGGAAUUGCCUUCGAUACUGGGAGUCUUGAGUUCGGAAGAGGAUGGUGGAACUGCGAGUGUAGAGGUGAAAUUCGUAGAUAUUCGCAAGAACACCGGUGGCGAAGGCGGCCAACUGGUCCGAAACUGACGCUGAGGCGCGAAAGCGUGGGGAGCAAACAGGAUUAGAAACCCUGGUAGUCC
rnacentral:rRNA from 1 species